UACGGGGGGUGCGAGCGUUGUCCGGAAUCACUGGGCGUAAAGCGCACGUAGGCGGCUUUGUAAGUUAGAGGUGAAAGCCCGGGGCUCAACUCCGGAAUUGCCUUUAAGACUGCAUCGCUAGAAUUGUGGAGAGGUAAGUGGAAUUCCGAGUGUAGAGGUGAAAUUCGUAGAUAUUCGGAAGAACACCAGUGGCGAAGGCGACUUACUGGACACAUAUUGACGCUGAGGUGCGAAAGCGUGGGGAGCAAACAGG
rnacentral:rRNA from 1 species